rnacentral:SRP_RNA from 1 species
GCCGGGCACGGUGGUGCGUGCCUGUAGUCCCAGCUACUCAGGAGGCUGAUGUGGGAGGAUCGCUUGAGCCCAGAAGUUCUGGCCUGUAGUGCGCUAUGCCAAUUGGGUGUCCGCACUAAGUUCAGCAUCAAUAUGGUGACCUCCCCGGAGCAAAGGACCACCAGGUUGCCUAAGGAGGGGUGAACCGGCCCAGGUCGGAAAUGGAGCAGGUCAAAACUCCCGUGCUGAUCAGUAGUGGGGUCAUGCCUGUGAAUAGCCACUGCACUCCAGCCUGGGCAACAUAGAGACACAAUCUCA